rnacentral:rRNA from 1 species
UACGUAGGGGGCAAGCGUUGUCCGGAAUCAUUGGGCGUAAAGAGCGUGUAGGCGGUUCAGUAAGUCUGCUGUGAAAGUCCAAGGCUCAACCUUGGGAUGCCGGUGGAUACUGCUGGGCUAGAGUACGGAAGAGGCGAGUGGAAUUCCCGGUGUAGCGGUGAAAUGCGCAGAUAUCGGGAGGAACACCUAUUGCGAAGGCAGCUCGCUGGGACGUCACUGACGCUGAGACGCGAAAGCGUGGGGAGCAAACAGG